rnacentral:rRNA from 1 species
GACGAACGCUGGCGGCGUGCCUAAUACAUGCAAGUAGAACGCUGAAGAGAGGAGCUUGCUCUUCUUGGCUGAGUUGCGAACGGGUGAGUAACGCGUAGGUAACCUGCCUGGUAGCGGGGGAUAACUAUUGGAAACGAUAGCUAAUACCGCAUAAAAUUGAUUAUUGCAUGAUAAUUAAUUGAAAGAUGCAACUGCAUCACUACCAGAUGGACCUGCGUUGUAUUAGCUAGUUGGUGAGGUAACGGCUCACCAAGGCGACGAUACAUAGCCGACCUGAGAGGGUGAUCGGCCACACUGGGACUGAGACACGGCCCAGACUCCUACGGGAGGCAGCAGUAGGGAAUCUUCGGCAAUGGGGGGAACCCUGACCGAGCAACGCCGCGUGAGUGAAGAAGGUUUUCGGAUCGUAAAGCUCUGUUGUAAGAGAAGAACGGGUGUGAGAGUGGAAAGUUCACACUGUGACGGUAUCUUACCAGAAAGGGACGGCUAACUACGUG